rnacentral:rRNA from 1 species
GACGAGCCUCACGAACGUUAUUCGGAAUUACUGGGCUUAAAGGGUGCGUAGGCUGUGCGGAAAGUUGGGUGUGAAAUCCCUCGGCUCAACCGAGGAACUGCGCCCAAAACUACCGUACUCGAGGAAGAUAGAGGUGAGCGGAACUUACGGUGGAGCGGAUGAAAUGCGUUGAUAUCGUAAGGAACACCCGUGGCGAAAGCGGCGUCACUGGGUCGUUUUCUGACGCUGAUGCACGAAAGCUAGGGGAGCAAACGGG